CGACCAAGUCAUACUCAGAGUAGGCCUAUUGUAACAAAUGGACUGAGGUUAGCUAUAAGUUUAGUUUAAGUCUGUUAAUUUUAGUAGGUCUAUUCUGAGUAUGACUUGGUCC